AUUGAACGCUGGCGGCAUGCCUUACACAUGCAAGUCGAACGGUAACAGGUCUUCGGAUGCUGACGAGUGGCGAACGGGUGAGUAAUACAUCGGAACGUGCCCGAUCGUGGGGGAUAACGGAGCGAAAGCUUUGCUAAUACCGCAUACGAUCUACGGAUGAAAGCAGGGGACCGCAAGGCCUUGCGCGGACGGAGCGGCCGAUGGCAGAUUAGGUAGUUGGUGGGAUAAAAGCUUACCAAGCCGACGAUCUGUAGCUGGUCUGAGAGGACGACCAGCCACACUGGGACUGAGACACGGCCCAGACUCCUACGGGAGGCAGCAGUGGGGAAUUUUGGACAAUGGGCGCAAGCCUGAUCCAGCCAUGCCGCGUGCAGGAUGAAGGCCUUCGGGUUGUAAACUGCUUUUGUACGGAACGAAAAGACUCCUUCUAAUAAAGGGGGUCCAUGACGGUACCGUAAGAAUAAGCACCGGCUAACUACGUGCCAGCAGCCGCGGUAAUACGUAGGGUGCAAGCGUUAAUCGGAAUUACUGGGCGUAAAGCGUGCGCAGGCGGUUAUAUAAGACAGAUGUGAAAUCCCCGGGCUCAACCUGGGAACUGCAUUUGUGACUGUAUAGCUAGAGUACGGCAGAGGGGGAUGGAAUUCCGCGUGUAGCAGUGAAAUGCGUAGAUAUGCGGAGGAACACUGAUGGCGAAGGCAAUCCCCUGGGCCUGUACUGACGCUCAUGCACGAAAGCGUGGGGAGCAAACA
rnacentral:rRNA from 1 species